CAAUAGCCUAGUUUCCUUGCUGAGAUGUGGCUAGAAAGUACUAUCGCUGUGCUGGAACUCUUAAACCAAGAGAUGUUGCUGCCAACUCACCCUGUAGUACAAGAAUAGUUGAUUCUGGAUCCAACCUGGAUGUCUGUGAUCACAUGCACCAUGCCAUUCACUGGAUCUGGAGGAGUUUUACAUGAUUUACCUGUGGGAAAGAAAAUGUUUUGGAGCCAGGGAAUGAAGAUUUUCUCUACAACUAUUUCUUGAAACAUUCUCAUGAAGUUAACAUUUCAAGCAACAAUCAAGGAUGCCUACAAGAAAAACUCUUACAUCCAUCUAUCCGAACACUUUUCAGAAAAGGUUUCUCAUAUCCCACAUUUGAAAUAAUUCCAUAAGAAGCUUUUGCAGACAUGGGAAAGAUCCAACGCAAGUUUACGCACGUUUACAGACAUCUUUGGGACUUGACCAGACCAGGUUAUCUAGACAUGUGAUAGAGAAUGGCCUCCCGUAGUACUCAGGACGGCAUUCGUACUUUAAAGAUGUCCCAAUGGGAAAGUCAGAUGCAUUGGUUUGGGUUUUCAACUUGGCAAACAGAAAAUGAUCUGGGGCUUGACAGUGACCUAGAGACCAAGAAAUCAAGAAUAUUUGAGUUAAUAAAAAGAUACCCAGUGUGUUUCCUCUUUUCUCUUCCUUGGUAGAUUUGAUGCCAGAAGAAAAGAAAAUUUUAGUUAUGAAAAAAAAAAAACUUCCCUGUAAAAUAGAAAGGAAAGUUCCAUUAGCAUAGGCUUAUAAGGAAGUAUAUUAUUUGGAAGACUAGCC
rnacentral:lncRNA from 1 species